rnacentral:misc_RNA from 1 species
GAAAUGCGAUACUUGGUGUGAAUUGCAGAAUUCAGUGAAUCAUCGAAUCUUUGAACGCACAUUGCGCCCAUUAGUAUUCUAGUGGGCAUGCCUGUUCGAGCGUCAUUUCAACCCUUAAGCCUAGCUUAGUGUUGGGAGACUGCCUAAUACGCAGCUCCUCAAAACCAGUGGCAGAGUUUUUACGUACUCUGAGCGCAGUAAUUCUAUUCUCGCUUUUUCCCAGCGUCGAUAACUGAGCCUCGCAAACCGUUCCCAAUUUGAUUGUAGCGCAAUCGCUUAUAACUUAACACGCCAGGCAGUUUGACCCUUUUGGUGAUGACUGAAGACCUGAACACCUGGUCUCAAAUCAGACAAGAAUACCCGCUGAACUUAA